UAAAUUAAAGUCGUCAUGUUUAGUAUUUUGAUGCAUAUCCUUUGCAUGCAAUGACUGCUUGAAGUUGUAGUGGAAGAUUGCAACCUUCACGUGGUACGCUCUGUUUCGACGAAUGCAAUCAACCUGGUGUGCACAAUCAAAUAAGAUCAAAUAGAACAAAUUGUUGUACAACUUUAGGCUGUGCACGCCAUACGCAAGAAGAAGACGACUGCUUGAAGUCUGCGAUUCAUGGACAUCACCAGUUGCUGGGCAUCUUCUCUGGUGAUGCUCUGCCAGGCCUGUAUUGCAGCCAUCUUUAGCUUAUGCGUGUUUUUGGGGACUAGUCCCCUUCAGUUUUCUCUUCAGCAUAUAAAAGGCAUGCUCAAUUGGGUUCAGAUCAGGUGAUUGACUUGGCCACUCAAGAAUUGUCUUUUUUUAGCUUUGAAUAACUCCUUUAUUGCUUUGGCGGUAUGUUUGGGAUCAUUGUCUUGCUGUAGAAUGAACCGCCGGGCAAUUAAUUUUGAGGCAUUUGUAUGAACUUGAGCAGAUAGGAUGUGUCUAUACACCAGAAUUAAUUAUGCUGCUACCAUCAGCAGUUGUAUUAGCAAUGAAGAUAAGUGAGCCAGCACCUACAGCAGCCAUGCAUGCCCAGGCUAUAACACUCCCACCAUCGUGUUGCACAGAUGAAGUGGUAUGCUUUGGAUCUUGGGCAGUUCCUCUCUCCUCCAUACCUUGCUUUGGCCAUCACUCUGAUAUAAGUUAAUCUUCAUCUCAUCUGUCCACAACUUUUUCCAGAACCGUGGUUGCUCUUUUAAGUACUUGGCAAACUGUAACCCGGCCAUUGCAUUUUUGCAGCUAAACAUUGGUUUGCUUGCAGGGUAACCUCUGUAUUUCUGUUUGUGAUGUCUUCUGCGAACAGUGGUCAUUGACAAAUCUACACCUGACUCCUGAAGAGUGUUUCUGAUCUGUCAGACAGGUGUUUGGGUUUUUUUCUUUAUUAUAGAGAUAAUUCUUCUGUCAUCAGCUGUGGAGGUCUUCCUUGGUCUGCCAGUCCCUUUACGAUAAUCUCACAAUGGAUUCUUUGACUUUCAUUGGCACAACUUUGGUCCUCAUGUUGAUAAACAGCAAUAAGUGUUUCCAAAGGUGAUGGAGAGACUGGAGGAAAGACUAGGUGCUGAGAGCUCUCUAAUACCUGCAUUAAGGCGGCAAUUAAACACACCUGAGCAAUUACAAACACCUGUGAAGCCAUGUGUCCCAAACAUUAUGGUGCCCUGAAAUGGGGGGACUAUGUAUAAACACAGCUGUAAUUUCUACAUGGUGAAACCAAAAUGUAUAAAAAUGCCUUUUAAUAAAAUCUGACAAUGUGCACUUUAACCACAUGUGAUUUUUUUUCUAUUACAAGUCUCAAAUUGUGGAGGAGUACAGAGGCAAAUAUAUAAAUGAAGGGUCUUUGUCCCAAACAUUAUGGAGGGCAGGAGAAUGGGGUUGGAAGGGAGAGAUAGAUCAGCCAUGAUUGAAACGCUGUGUAGACUAGAUGGGCCAAAUGGCCUAAUUCUACUCCUAUCACAUGACCUUAUGACAUUUGGCAAACUGGGCUGAAUGGGGCAAUCAGCUUCAUUUCAGGGCUUCAUACUGAGUGUGGGAUCAUCCUGAGCACUGUUGCAUCACAUUAUUAUGAAACAGGCUUCAACUUCUAAGAUUUAAGAUUCAUUAAAUUGCAUUUUUUAAGCCAUAACAAUCAUAAACUUUUAUUUUAAUCGAAAACGAUGGCUGCAUUGAUCACAUCAGCAGGUCUUUCCUUCUGAUUUGAAAUGAGCAAUUAAAUAAUAAUUCUAUAUUGCUCUUUGACUGUAGUGAAAAGAAGACUAUUAUAUUGUCAUAGUCCGAUGUGAAGUGAAAUGAUAUGAUUGCGGCUCACAACUGAAAGAUAUAAUCUCAUUUGAGUGCAAUCUGACAAUAGUGUCUUGUAUCACAAUAUUCCCAUGUCACAUUGAAGGAAACAUAAUAAUGAUGUUGUCAUUUUUUCCCAGAAAGGCAGUAGACGAAUAGUACAUAAAGCUUUGCACAGUUGUCCUGGAGUUUGAUGUAUUUUUGCCUAGAAUGACUAAUGUUGUAUGACGAUGAUUGUUGUAUUGGAAACUGUGUACAUGACCAUUUUUUUCUUUCAAAAGCCUAAAAUCCACAUCUUUCUUGAAAAUAAGUUAUGUUUUUAUUUGUUACAAUAGCAACCUAAUUUAACAACUUUGUAUUGCAGCCAAAGUUUCAAGUAGUGUUGAUCAAGAACCGACGUGGAGCUCGGUGCCCAUGUAGAAUAAUAGGAUGCUCUAAUCUUGGUGGUAUUCUCCCAAAGAUAUUGUUAUGGGACAGCUGUAGUUCUUCCAGUAUUGAAAGGAGUUUUCUUUGUACCUCGCAAGAGAGAGAGAAGCAUGUUGAAAUAGUGGCAGAGAGAUAAAAUUUGCCAGUGAACAGAAGCAGACAACAAGCAGAAAUUCAUCAAGCAGCUAAUCUGCAAAAGGUGAUGAUGAGGUGGCUGCCAUGUUCUCCUUGUGUAUGAAAGGCACACCUUCAAUAAAUCUAUUGUACAUAG